rnacentral:rRNA from 1 species
GACGAACGCUGGCGGCGUGCCUAAUACAUGCAAGUCGAACGAAGUGGCGAACGGGUGAGUAACGCGUAAUCAACCUUCCCUUCAGAGGGGGACUACAGUUGGAAACGACUUCUAAUACCGCAUACUGAAGGAGGGGAUUGCGUCUGAUUAGCUAGUUGGAGGGGUAACGGCCCACCAAGGCGAUGAUCAGUAGCGGGCCUGAGAGGUGAACCGGGAACAUUGGGACGGAGAUACGGCCCAGACGCCGACGGGAGGCAGAAUGGGGGGAUAUUGCACAAUGGGCGAAAGCCUGAUGCAGCGACGCCGAGGGGGGGAUGAAGGCUUUCGGGUUGUAAACCUCUUUCGCUAUCGAACGGGUAGGUGGAGAAGAAGCGCCGGCUAACUACGUGCCAGCAGCCGCGGUAAUAC